GACAGGGAUACUGGAGUGAUGGAGGUCGAUACUGUCUGUAUCGGGGUAAGGUGACAGGGAUACUGGAGUGAUGGAGGUCGAUACUAUCUGUAUCAGGGUAAGGUGACAGGGAUACUGGAGUGAUGGAGGUAGAUACUGUCUGUAUCGGGGUAAGGUGACAGGGAUACUGGAGUGAUGGAGGUAGAUACUAUCUGUAUCGGGGUAAGGUGACAGGGAUACUGGAGAGAUGGAGG